rnacentral:rRNA from 1 species
UACGUAGGUCCCGAGCGUUGUCCGGAUUUAUUGGGCGUAAAGCGAGCGCAGGUGGUUUAUUAAGUCUGGUGUAAAAGGCAGUGGCUCAACCAUUGUAUGCAUUGGAGACUGGUAGACUUGAGUGCAGGAGAGGAGAGUGGAAUUCCAUGUGUAGCGGUGAAAUGCGUAGAUAUAUGGAGGAACACCGGUGGCGAAAGCGGCUUUCUGGCCUGUAACUGACACUGAGGCUCGAAAGCGUGGGGAGCAAACAGG